CCAGUUCCAUUAUCAUAAAGUCUACGUAGUGAGCUACUGAGAAAGAUUGCAAACAAGGAGCAAAUCAAAUGACACUUUGUAAGGGCUUCUUUUUGCCUGCUCCUCCAACAGCGUGCUGACAUUUUAGCAUUAGUGGCUCUGUCAGAGUGUGAAAGAAUCAACCCUUACCGUCCCCCCAUGACACCCCAGGAUAGAACUCUGUCUGCGAGGGCGGUUAAUGGAGGAAGAAUGUCAAAAAGAGGACAACGCAUCCCGUCUCCCCCCCACCCCUCUCGUGUCCCACACACAAGAUAAGGAGAUGCUGUAUGCCAGGC